GACGAACGCUGGCGGCGUGCCUAAUACAUGCAAGUAGAACGCUGAAGGAGGAGCUUGCUUCUCUGGAUGAGUUGCGAACGGGUGAGUAACGCGUAGGUAACCUGCCUGGUAGCGGGGGAUAACUAUUGGAAACGAUAGCUAAUACCGCAUAAGAGUAGAUGUUGCAUGACAUUUGCUUAAAAGGUGCAAUUGCAUCACUACCAGAUGGACCUGCGUUGUAUUAGCUAGUUGGUGGGGUAACGGCUUACCAAGGCGACGAUACAUAGCCGACCUGAGAGGGUGCUCGGCCACACUGGGACUGAGACACGGCCCAGACUCCUACGGGAGGCAGCAGUAGGGAAUCUUCGGCAAUGGACGGAAGUCUGACCGAGCAACGCCGCGUGAGUGAAGAAGGUUUUCGGAUCGUAAAGCUCUGUUGUAAGAGAAGAACGAGUGUGAGAGUGGAAAGUUCACACUGUGACGGUAUCUUACCAGAAAGGGACGGCUAACUACGUG
rnacentral:rRNA from 1 species